rnacentral:rRNA from 1 species
UACAGAGGGUGCAAACGUUGCUCGGAAUUACUGGGCGUAAAGCGCGUGUAGGCGGUUUCGCGAGUCCGAUGUGAAAGCCCGGGGCCCAACCCCGGAAGUGCAUUGGAUACUACGAAGCUUGAGUGCUGGAGAGGAGAGCGGAAUUCCCGGUGUAGAGGUGAAAUUCGUAGAUAUCGGGAGGAACACCAGUGGCGAAGGCGGCUCUCUGGACAGACACUGACGCUGAUACGCGAAAGCGUGGGGAGCGAACAGG